rnacentral:rRNA from 1 species
GUAGGGUGCAAGCGUUAAUCGGGAAUUACUGGGGCGUAAAGCGUGCGCAGGCGGUUGUGCAAGACAGAUGUGAAAUACCCCCGGGGGCUCAACCUGGGAAUUGCAUUUGUGACUGUACGGCUAGAGUGUGUCAGACGGGGGGUAGAAUUCCACGUGUAGCAGUGAAAUGCGUAGAGAUGUGGAGGAAUACCGAUGGCGAAGGCAGCCCCCUGGGAUAACACUGACGCUCAUGCACGAAAGCGUGGGGAGCAAACAGGAUUAGAUACCCUGGUAGUCCACGCCCUAAACGAUGUCAACUAGUUGUCGGGUCUUAAUUGACUUGGUAACGCAGCUAACGCGUGAAGUUGACCGCCUGGGGAGUACGGUCGCAAGAUUA